AUCCUGUCCUGGUUCCCAGUCGUGGCCAUUGGGUUUUCAUGCCAUUGUGCAAGAUGUUCCUCCCUGAAACCCUGAUAUAAAGUCAGCAGCACAUCAGCCUUCUGAUG
rnacentral:snoRNA from 1 species